rnacentral:rRNA from 1 species
UGGGGAAUAUUGGACAAUGGAGGAAACUCUGAUCCAGCAAUUCUGUGUGUGUGAAGAAGGUUUUAGGACUGUAAAACACUUUUAGUAGGGAAGAAAAAAAUGACGGUACCUACAGAAGAAGCAACGGCUAAAUACGUGCCAGCAGCCGCGGUAAUACGUAUGUUGCGAGCGUUAUCCGGAAUUAUUGGGCUUAAAGGGCAUCUAGGCGGUAAGACAAGUUGAAGGUGAAAACCUGUGGCUCAACCAUAGGCUUGCCUACAAAACUGUUGAACUAGAGUACUGGAAAGGUGGGUGGAACUACACGAGUAGAGGUGAAAUUCGUAGAUAUGUGUAGGAAUGCCGAUGAUGAAGAUAACUCACUGGACAGAAACUGACGCUGGAGUGCGAAAGCUAGGGGAGCAAACAGG